rnacentral:rRNA from 1 species
GAUGAACGCUGGCGGCGUGCCUAACACAUGCAAGUCGAGCGAACGGACGAGAAUCUUGCUUCUCUGAUGUUAGCGGCGGACGGGUGAGUAACACGUGGAUAACCUACCUAUCAGACUGGUAUAACUUCGGGAAACCGGAGCUAAUACCGUAUAAUAUUUUGCACCGCAUGGUUCAAAAGUGAAAUUCGGCCUUGCUGUCACUUCUAGAUGGAUCCGCGCUGCAUUAGCUAGUUGGUAAGGUAACGGCUUACCAAGGCGACGAUGCAUAGCCGACCUGAGAGAGUGAUAGGCCACACUGGAACUGAGACACGGUCCAGACUCCUAAGGGAGGCAGCAGUAGGGAAUCUUCCGCAGUGGGCGGAAGCAUGACGGAGCAACGCCGCGUGAGAGAUGAAGGUCUUCGGAUCGGAAAACUCUGUUAUUAGGGAAAAACAUAUGUGGAAGUAACUGUGGACAUCUUGACGGUACCGAAUCAGAAAGCAACGGCUAACUACGUG